GACGAACGCUGGCGGCGUGCUUAACACAUGCAAGUCGAACGGAAAGGCCCUGCUGUUGUGGGGUGCUCGAGUGGCGAACGGGUGAGUAACACGUGAGUAACCUGCCCUUGACUUUGGGAUAACUUCAGGAAACUGGGGCUAAUACCGGAUAGGAGCUCCGGCUGCAGGGUGGGGGUUGGAAAGUUUCGGCGGUUGGGGAUGGACUCGCGGCUUAUCAGCUUGUUGGUGGGGUAGUGGCUUACCAAGGCUUUGACGGGUAGCCGGCCUGAGAGGGUGACCGGCCACAUUGGGACUGAGAUACGGCCCAGACUCCUACGGGAGGCAGCAGUGGGGAAUAUUGCACAAUGGGCGGAAGCCUGAUGCAGCAACGCCGCGUGCGGGAUGACGGCCUUCGGGUUGUAAACCGCUUUCGCCUGUGACGAAGCGUGAGUGACGGUAAUGGGUAAAGAAGCACCGGCUAACUACGUG
rnacentral:rRNA from 1 species